rnacentral:rRNA from 1 species
GUCGAACGCGGUUACCUCGCAAGGGGUAACUGAGUGGCGAACGGGUGAGUAACACGUGGGUGACCUACCUUCGAAUGGGGGAUAACGUCCCGAAAGGGACGCUAAUACCGCAUAACAUCCUGCCUUUGAACAGGCGGAGAUCAAAGCCGGGGAUCGUAAGACCUGGCGUUUGAAGAGGGGCCCGCGUCCGAUUAGCUAGUUGGUGAGGUAACGGCUCACCAAGGCGACGAUCGGUAACCGGCCUGAGAGGGCGGACGGUCACACUGGGACUGAGACACGGCCCAGACUCCUACGGGAGGCAGCAGUGGGGAAUUGUUCACAAUGGGCGCAAGCCUGAUGACGCAACGCCGCGUGGAGGAUGAAGGUCUUCGGAUUGUAAACUCCUGUUGCCCGGGACGAAAAGCUUCGACCUAAUACGUUGAAGUCUGACGGUACCGGGUGAGGAAGCCCCGGCUAACUCUGUGCCAGCAGCCGCGGUAAUACAGAGGGGGCAAGCGUUGUUCGGAAUUACUGGGCGUAAAGGGCGCGUAGGUGGCCUUCUAAGUCAUGCGUGAAAUCCCCGGGCUCAACCCGGGAACUGCGUCUGAUACUGGAAGGCUUGAAUCCGGGAGAGGGAUGCGGAAUUCCAGGUGUAGCGGUGAAAUGCGUAGAUAUCUGGAGGAACACCGGUGGCGAAGGCGGCAUCCUGGACCGGCAUUGACGCUGAGGCGCGAAAGCCAGGGGAGCAAACGGGAUUAGAUACCCCGGUAGUCCUGGCC